rnacentral:tRNA from 1 species
GCCUGGGUGGCUCAAUCGGUUGAGCGUCUGACUUCGGCUCAGGUCAUGAUCUCGUGGUCUGUGAGUUCGAGCCCCGCGUCGGGCU